UUUGGGCAUAUUCGUUACGGAGAGAUCGAAAGCUGAGAUGGCAGGAGAAGCAACAAUGUACUUUGAACAUAGCACAAACAAGAUUCGAUUUUUUUUCCCCGUUUCCAUUGGGUUUUACUGGUUAUGUCUGAGAAUGGGUCGGAGCAUUUCCGAAGUCGUCUCUCUUAAAAGUGUAUUCUAGUAUAGAGCCAUAAAAAAUUUCUUGUCGAUUCUGCUGUUUUUGUUUUGUCUCUUUGAAGACAAUGGAAGCAAAGGAGAGAUCAUUAGCAUUAUAAGAGCACAUGGAUCAAUGUGGUAUAAUAAUUCAAGUUUUCCAUAAACGGUAAAGCCUUGAAGCAUGGGGGGAAAAACUAAGAAACCGUGGAAGAAUGCUUUUCUGUUUUCUUGUCAUCAACGUUUUUGCUGAGGAAC